UACAGAGGUCCCCAGCGUUGUUCGGAUUCAUUGGGCGUAAAGGGUGCGUAGGCGGCGCGGUAAGUCGGGUGUGAAAUCUCGGAGCUUAACUCCGAAACUGCAUUCGAUACUGCCGUGCUUGAGGACUGGAGAGGAGACUGGAAUUUACGGUGUAGCGGUGAAAUGCGUAGAUAUCGUAAGGAAGACCAGUGGCGAAGGCGGGUCUCUGGACAGUUCCUGACGCUGAGGCACGAAGGCCAGGGGAGCAAACAGG
rnacentral:rRNA from 1 species